UGCGUAGGUGGCGAGGUAAGUUGGAUGUGAAAUCCCGGGGCUCAACCCCGGAACUGCAUUCAAUACUGCCUUGCUGGAGUACUGGAGAGGAGAUUGGAAUUUACGGUGUAGCAGUGAAAUGCGUAGAUAUCGUAAGGAAGACCAGUGGCGAAGGCGGAUCUCUGGACAGUUACUGACACUGAGGCACGAAGGCCAGGGGAGCAAACG
rnacentral:rRNA from 1 species